rnacentral:tRNA from 1 species
GCCUCCAUAGCGUAAUUGGAAGCGCAUCCACCCGUUAAGUGGAAUGUUCAGGGUUCGAAUCCCUACGGGGGGA